rnacentral:rRNA from 1 species
CAUAUCAAUAAGCGGAGGAAAAGAAACUAACAAGGAUUCCCCUAGUAACUGCGAGUGAAGCGGGAAAAGCUCAAAUUUAAAAUCUGGCAGUCUUUGGCUGUCCGAGUUGUAAUCUAGAGAAGUGUUAUCCGCGUUGGACCGUGUACAAGUCUCCUGGAAUGGAGCGUCAUAGAGGGUGAGAAUCCCGUCUUUGACACGGACUGCCAAGGCUUUGUGAUGCGCUCUCAAAGAGUCGAGUUGUUUGGGAAUGCAGCUCAAAAUGGGUGGUAAAUUCCAUCUAAAGCUAAAUAUUGGCGAGAGACCGAUAGCGAACAAGUACCGUGAGGGAAAGAUGAAAAGAACUUUGGAAAGAGAGUUAAACAGUACGUGAAAUUGCUGAAAGGGAAACGCUUGAAGUCAGUCGCGUUGGUCAGGAAUCAACCUUGCUUUUGCUUGGUGUACUUUCUGGUUGACGGGUCAGCAUCAAUUUUGAUCAUUGGAAAAAGGUCAAGGGAAUGUGGCAUCUUCGGAUGUGUUAUAGCCCUUGGUUGCAUACAAUGGUUGGGAUUGAGGAACUCAGCACGCCGCAAGGCCGGGUUUUUAACCACGUACGUGCUUAGGAUGCUGGCAUAAUGGCUUUAAUCGACCCGUCUUGAAACACGGACCAAGGAGUCUAACAUGCCUGCGAGUGUUUGGGUGGAAAACUCGAGCGCGUAAUGAAAGUGAAAGUUGAGAUCCCUGUCGUGGGGAGCAUCGACGCCCGGACCAGACCUUUUGUGACGGUUCCGCGGUAGAGCAUGUAUGUUGGGACCCGAAAGAUGGUGAACUAUGCCUGAAUAGGGUGAAGCCAGAGGAAACUCUGGUGGAGGCUCGUAGCGAUUCUGACGUGCAAAUCGAUCGUCAAAUUUGGGUAUAGGGGCGAAAGACUAAUCGAACCAUCUAGUAGCUGG